AGCGGCGGACGGGUGAGUAACACGUGGGCAACCUGCCUCAUAGAGGGGAAUAGCCUCCCGAAAGGGAGAUUAAUACCGCAUAAGAUUGUAUCUUCGCAUGAAGUAGCAAUUAAAGGAGCAAUCCGCUAUGAGAUGGGCCCGCGGCGCAUUAUCUAGUUGGUGAGGUAACGGCUCACCAAGGCGACUAUGCGUACCCGACCUGAGAGGGUGAUCGGCCACAUUGGGACUGAGACACGGCCCACACUCCUACGGGAGGCAGCAGUGGGGAAUAUUGCACAGUGGGGGAAACCCUGAUGCAGCAACGCCGCGUGAGUGAUGACGGCCUUCGGGUUGUAAAGCUCUGUCUUCGGGGACGAUAAUGACGGUACCUGAAGAGGAAGCCACGGCUAACUACGUGCCAGCAGCCGCGGUAAUACGUAGGUGGCGAGCGUUGUCCGGAUUUACUGGGCGUAAAGGGAGCGUAGGCGGACUUUUAAGUGAGAUGUGAAAUACCCGGGCUCAACUUGGGUGCUGCAUUUCAAACUGGAAGUCUAGAGUGCAAGAGAAGAGAAUGGAAUUCCUAGUGUAGCGGUGAAAUGCGUAGAGAUUAAAGAAGAACACCUGUGGCGAAGGAGAUUCUCUGGACUGUAUCUGACUCUGAGGCUCAAAAGCGUGGGGAGCAAACAAGAUUAGAUACCGUGGUAGUCCACGCCAUAAAAUGAUGAAUUCUAUCUGU
rnacentral:rRNA from 1 species